rnacentral:rRNA from 1 species
AUUGAACGCUGGCGGCAGGCCUAACACAUGCAAGUCGAGCGGAGCGGCGGACGGGUGAGUAAUGCCUAGGAAUCUGCCUGGUAGUGGUGGAUAACGUCCGGCAACGGGCGCUAAUACCGCAUACUAUCAGAUGAGCCUAGGUCGGAUUAGCUAGUUGGUGGGGUAAAGGCCUACCAAGGCGACGAUCCGUACCUGGGCUGAGAGGAGGAUCAGUCAAACUGGACCUGAGAAACGGUCCAGAUUCCUACGGGAGGAAGCAGUGGGGAAUAUUGGACAAUGGGCGAAAGCCUGAUCCAGCCAGGCCGCGUGUGGGAAGAAGGUCUUCGGAUUGUAAAGCACGUUAAGUUGGGAGGCGUUACCAACAGAAUAAGCACCGGCUAACUUCGUGCCAGCAGCCGCGGUAAUGC